UUGCUCCUGGUUCUGUCCGGUUCUUGCGAACCGGUAGUAAAAGCGGCGGGAGGCUCCGCCCACCCGCCCAGAUGUCAUAAUGGAUGAUCUGCGCAUCCACACUUUCCUUGAGAACCGGUAGUAAAGGUAAGUAGAACCCACCCCUGGUGAAGGCUAAGAUAGAUUGCCCAGCUGUGGCUCCAGAUUUUCCACCUACAAACUUGCAAGGAGUCCUAGGCCCAUCAAGCCUUAACCCAUACUUUCCAAUGAAAAGUCAGCAGUCCUAGGAGAAGAACUUGUCACAGGCACUGACUGUUUAUACCCACCAACCAGCGGCUGAAGCUGUGAGAUGCUUUCCAAUGUCUGCCCAAAGUUUUACUCUUGUGCAGCUAACAUGGCUGUUCUGACAAUCAUUUCAAGCCUGCCUCAUCUUCUGAGAGAUUUAGAAGCAAGGUGGCCAUUGAAACAUCUGCAUAUUUCUGGUUCCUUCAGAAGCCCCCAGGAAGGCACCUGCUCCCUGAAGGGACUAUUUUCUGGCUGUUGUAAAUAAUUUCCUCUGUCAACCUCAGAGAGUCGGCCAGCUUCCUAGCCUCACCGCCUAAAGCCAGUGGGAUUUCCUCCGUCUCUACUUCACAGGCCUAUUUUUGGUGAGAAGGAAAAGUGGUGGGCAAACAGACAAAAGGAGCUUGCAAUCAACUCUCUCCUCCCUCGAACAUCAAAGUUGUUAAGGGUGUGUGAAGAACUUUGCUUCUCAUGCAGGGCUUGUGACUCAAGUUCUUUCUUUCUUUGAAUUGUUAUGCCCUCCGUUCAAGGAAAUAUCUACACUGGGCAAGUCCUAUGUAAAGUUGUAACCUCAAAGAGUGGAAGAUAUUUUAAAAAGUACCGUACUUGCCUGGUGCCAAGCAGACAUUAGUAGUGAAGACAACGCAAACCUUGCAGAGAACAAAUCCCAAUGAGAAGACUAUCAUAAUCAGAAAGAAUCUUCUUGACCUGGCACCCCCAGGUGCUCAUCUCAGAUGCUAGAGGCAUCUGGAGCAGAGCUUCAUUGGAUAGUUUCAGUCUACCGACCAAGCAAUUCUACUUGUCUUCCAAAAAAGUGAAGUUGAUUCUGCAAUUUAAUGACAUUACACAAAUGUCCACUC